AGAAGCUUUGAAGCAGCAAACAUGGACUGGUGUGAAAAAUUACGUGCGGAACAGGAUCACGACUCUUAAAAGAAAGGGUGGUUUGUAGGGAGACACAAACACUUCAACACUUUGCACAUUAUGCUCUUUUCGUAAGAAAUUGAGCUAAAUUAAAAGAAAUGAAGAUAAAGGUGUAGACAUUAAAAUUAAGAGACGCUCGCGCUGUUUGCAUACUUUACCACAGCUGAAGUAGAAAAAAUGCAUUAUUUUCCAAAUACACAGAUAUUUCAGAGACAUUUUCAUUCAAUACAUGCACUGCUUAAUACAGUGUCUGUUUGUACAAGAAUAAAGUUCAACAUAAGCCUAAAUACCAACGUAAAGAGGGAGGAGAGAAUGUAAAGGGGACGUAAAGAGGGAGGAGAGAAUGUAAAGGGGAGGUAAAGAGGGAGGGGAGGAGAGCAUUAGGCUUGUUGGACUUCAUGCAGCGCUGCAGAACGAUCAGCGGCUAACUUGAGCAGUUCUUGACGGUUAGAACUUGUGUCCGACUUCAGACAGCGACGCCCGUGACUGUGCCAUAAGGCAACAGAGUACAACUAGAGUGAUUGGAGAGCAGGAGGACUCAGCCAGAGCAGAUUCUCUAGAGCGACUCACAAGCUCUGAUGAUGACACAGCUAAUCCACGAUUGGCAGAGUACACCGCUUGACAACGAUCACGUGUGUUUCAUGUUUCUUCUCACACCUUCAGUUCCACUAAGGAUCACAUCUGUUCUUUAUAACAGUAAAAGCUCUUUUCAUGUAGUUGCGAUAAAUGUUUAUCAAAAUAAAACAAUGUAGACCCCACUUCACUGGUAUUUAGGCUUACUUUGAACUUUAUUCUUGUACAAACAGUAGUGCAUGUAUUGAAUGAAAAUGUCUCUGAAAUAUCUGUAUUUGGAAAAUAAUGCGUUUAUUCCACUUCAGCUGUGGUAAAGUAUGAAAACUUAGCCUGAGCGUCACUACAGGAAGCAGAAAGUGUCUGACAUCACAUCUCAGUUUUCAGCUUCUCUCGUCUGCACACGGCAACUCUCACCAAUCGGUUACAUCCAGCCACAGCCCAUGUCCAGCACAGCUAAUAUAAGGGAUGAAUAGAGGGAGUAAAAGUAAAGAGGAUGAAAAGAGGGAGGUGUAAGCGGGUAAAAAGAGUGAGGAGUAGAGUUAAAGAGGAUAAAGAGAGGGAGGAGUAAAGAGGGUAAAAAGAGUGAGGAGUAGAGUUAAAGAGGAUAAAGAGAGGGAGGAGUAAAGAGGGUAAAAAGAGGGAUGAGUAGAGUUAAAGAGGGAGGAGAGAAUGUAAAGGAGGAAGUAGAGAGAUUUUGAAGAAGGGUGGAUGGAGGAAGUACAGAGGAUAGUUGGGCACUGAGAAUCAUUCCCACCUCCAAGUUAAUUGAUUUUUCAUUGUUGUUCUUUAAAAAUUUUUUUUUUUGAAGUUCUGUCAUUAACUGCAAUGUGCACUUUCAACACAAUGUGUCCAAGACUGUUAAUAUUAAAGAUGUGUGUCACUUGAGUCCCCAAAGAGUCAUUUAAUCGGAGUGUGUGUGUCACUCGAGUCCCCAAAGAGUCAUUUAAUCGGAGUGUGUGUGUCACUCGAGUCCCCAAAGGGUCAUUUAAGCGGAGUGUGUGUGUCACUCGAGUCCCCAAAGGGUCAUUUAAGCGGAGUGUGUGUGUCACUCGAGUCCCCAAAGGGUCAUUUAAGCGGAGUGUGUGUGUCACUCGAGUCCCCAAAGGGUCAUUUAAGCGGAGUGUGUGUGUCACUCGAGUCCCCAAAGAGUCAUUUAAUCGGAGUGUGUGUGUCACUCGAGUCCCCAAAGGGUCAUUUAAGCGGAGUGUGUGUAUCACUAUUUUUAUUUGUAUAGAGUUUUUUUUGACAAUUACUACAGAAGAACAUGCCUAAUGUCUUAUAACCCCAGUGUGUAGCCAAAGAUGACUCUGGUGAGGAAAACUCCUUAAGAUGUUUUUGUGAUAAUGAUUAGUUUACAGUCGAUGCCAAAUUAACUAUGGGAGGGAUGCAGAUUCGGUCAGUGAAAGGUUCUCUGCCAUGAAGUGAAGUCCGUUUUAUUUCUAUAGCGCAUGAUACAAUACAGAUGGUUUCAAAGGAGCUUCACACACAUAAAAUAACUUGCAAAUGUCAACAAUUAUGAAAUGACUAAUGUAGAGCUGUUUUGCAGUUGAAAUUAAAGACAAUAGUGUUAUUAUUCAGCUCAAUUCUGUUCAUCUUUUGCUUCUGAUAGUCAAUCAGUCAAAUCAAUAAUAUUUCUGAAUGUUAAUUGUCAUUCCCCAACUGAGCAGCCAAAGGCACUUGAUCUCAAGCUACAAAUCAGACAAAACAUGUAGGCUACCCAUUUACAGUGAUCUUGCUGAAAAGAAGAAACCCAGUUUACUCUCUCACACCUGUAUCUUUGCACUAGCUUGAUUUCACUGUCCAGUAUUGGAACUGUGAAUUGUAAUAUUCUACUUCUGUCUUCUUAGGAUAAAUAAUAUAUACCAUCUCAACAAUGUCCUGAAAGUAUACCUUAACCAGAGUUUGUGUAUCACCAUGGUCCUCAAAGUAUGACUUGAUCAGAGUUUGUGUUUAAUGUCCCCAAAAUGGACAUAUAAAAUAAUGUCCCUAAAGUGAAGGUAAAAUGUCAGGUCUUUAAGGAAGGCUUUUAUUGAUAAAAUCAAGUGAUAUUUGUGAUGACAGCUUCUCCAGAAGUGCAGUCAUAUCUUUCUUUAGUCUCUAGACCCUUCAGAAAGGGGUGUCCCUAAAGGUAGGGUUUCCAGUCAUACGUCCUCACAUUGUGGUUAAGUAGGUAUGUGUGUGUGUGUGUGUGUGUGUGUGUGUGUGUGUGUGUGUUUGUGUUUGUGUGUGAACAAAUAUUAAUUCAAACAUGCAUUGUCUAAAGUUGUUUCUAUAGUUCAUAUUCAUUCAUUAAAGUUUGUAAUGUUUUGUAGAACAUGAACAUGUAUGGAGUCAUUUAUUAGAGGUCUGAGACUGACAGCUGUCUGUUCUGUGUGUGAAGAGCAUUUACAUAGAGACACUUUGCAUGAGAGAGUUUAUAGUGCUGUGAGUUUAACACUUCAUGACUGAGAGCAGAACAGAACACAAUCUUCAUCAUCACACAAGACACAACAACAACAAUGAACAACAUCAUCAUCCUCAUCUGGGCACUGACUCUCUGCAUAUGUAUUAGAGGUUUCAGUGGGCAGGUGACUGUGACUCAGACUCCCUCUGUUAAAACAGUUCAGAUUGGUGGUACAGUCAUUAUAAACUGCAAAACUAACACAGUAGUGUAUAAUGGCUGUACAGGUUCAUAUACUUGUAUGGCCUGGUAUCUGCAGAAACAUGGAGAAGCUCCUAAACGCUUGAUUCAUUCAGCAAACCAAAGAGAUUCAAACACUCCAUCUAGAUUCAGUGGCAGUGGAUCUAACAGUGAUUUCACUCUGACCAUCAGUGGAGUCCAGACUGAAGAUACAGGAGAUUAUUACUGUCAGAGUUUCCACUAUCCAAACAGUAAACAUGUGUUCACACAGUGAUAAAGAGUCGUACAAAAACCUCCGUCAGUCAGAGUCACAGUGACUGCACUGAUACAGCUGAGAGAUACUGCACCUGCUGAUGAACACAAUCACACACAACACUGAUCAACACAAACACUAAUAACAUGAUUGCAUUACCAAUCAGAAUCUUGUAUUUCUGAAGAGAAUGAAUCUGUAUUCUAACUAGUGUAUAUUCAUGCAUAGCUAUGUCAUAUGAUAUAAAUAUUGCUUGUUUUGAUAACACAAUUCUCUUUCAGU